UGUGCACCGGUGGGGUCCCUCGGCCUGGCCUGCACCCUCUCGCAAUCCAGGACCCCUUGGGGGAUGUCGGGGAGCUGAUUUUGGCCUAAUCCUGCAGGCCAGGCUGAGGGACCCCACUGGUGCAUG
rfam:Myotis lucifugus cont2.10844, whole genome shotgun sequence.